UAUGUGUUUGUUCUGGGUAAAUAGAGUUUCUAGCAUUUAUGUUAGUUACUUGUUCCCCGGAUAUUUUAGUUACGUAGCCAAUUGUGGAACUUUCUUGCUAAAAUUUUACUGUACGGAUUAAACCAAUUAGUUCUUAUUAAUUAUAACGAUUAUCAAUUAACAAUCAAUUUAGAACUGGCACACACUUGGGGAAUCCGACUGUCUAAUUAAAACAAAGCAUUGUGAUGGCCCUAGCUUGUGUUGACACAAUGUGAUUUCUGCCCAGUGUUCUGAAUGUCAAAGUGAAGAAAUUCAAGUAAGCGCGGGUCAAUGGAGAGAGUAACUAAGACUCCUCUUAUCACAUGCAGAUAUAUAUGACACCUUAUGUGCUUAUGGUGCGCUAAAAGGCUUCGUCGACUAC
rfam:Drosophila melanogaster chromosome X.